GUUGGUGUAGUACUUUGUCCUGUAUAGCACUUAGCUCUCACACUUCCGACUGGUAUACGGCUUUGAUACCAAUAAUAACGACUCGAUCCACUAGCAAUAAUAACUUGUUGAGCCAAACCACCGGCCCAAAAUACUUAAGCUCAGUUAUUAUUACUAGCUAGCGCGGAGGUCUCAUAUAUUCUAAUCAGAAUCCAAUAUUAGACUAUUAGGGCGUUAUAGCAGAUCACUCACCUAGAUGGCCCAUAUAUGGAUAGAAAUGACGCAAAUAGAAGGAGAAGAAGGCAAAUAGGAGGAGAAGUAAGCUUGACUUAUUUUUAAGCCAUAAGUGUGAUUUUUUAAGGUUAGAGAAGAAGGUGGCCGUUGGAAUGACCAUUGGAGGGUAAAUAAGAAAUGUAUUUGAUAUUUGAAGGGCAAAUAAAAAAAGUAUUUACUCAGAUAAGUAUGAAAAGUUGGUUAUGGUAGAAUAGUAUAUUUGAAUGGGCAAAAUGGUCAUUUCACAGAGAUAACGACGGCUGCUAAGAAUUUAAGUCUAGCGAUAUAGUUGAAAGAACUUGGAACGUUAAAAAGGUAUUUUUAAUAUUAGCUUUCUAAAAGGGAUAAAUAAGAAAGAAACUUUUUUGGGGUAAAUAAGCAAUUGCCCCUUGAAAUUAAUUAGUUUAGGUUAGGU
rnacentral:lncRNA from 1 species